GUGAGGAAUAUUGGUCAAUGGGCGCAAGCCUGAACCAGCCAUGCCGCGUGCAGGAAGACGGUCCUAUGGAUUGUAAACUGCUUUUAUUUGGGAAUAAACUCCGGUACGUGUACCGGCCUGAAGGUACCAAAUGAAUAAGCACCGGCUAACUCCGUGCCAGCAGCCGCGGUAAUACGGAGGGUGCAAGCGUUAUCCGGAAUCAUUGGGUUUAAAGGGUCCGCAGGCGGUCUUAUAAGUCAGUUGUGAAAGCCUACAGCUCAACUGUAGAACUGCCAUUGAUACUGUAGGACUUGAAUUCGAUCGAAGUGGGCGGAAUGUGACAUGUAGCGGUGAAAUGCUUAGAUAUGUCACAGAACACCGAUAGCGAAGGCAGCUCACUAGGUCUGGAUUGACGCUCAGGGACGAAAGCGUGGGGAGCAAACAGGAUUAGAAACCCGGGUAGUCC
rnacentral:rRNA from 1 species